UACAAUUUAGGGGAAUGAAACUGACUAUAAAAUGGGAUUGAAGAGCCAAAGAAAGGCAUCAGUCAGCGGCUCAGCAUUCUCAAGUAAAGAUUACCUUACCAACGGAAAAAAGGAAUCAUCAUGAAGCUAACUCUUUGCAUUUUGAUUGCGAGCGCUCUACUGAUCGGCUGUUCGGGCUCGGCAGUUCCAGCUUGUGAAUGCACGGAGUCCACAACACCCCCUUGUACAACCCCGCCAACAACCACGACAA